rnacentral:rRNA from 1 species
GACGAACGCUGGCGGCGUGCUUAACACAUGCAAGUCGAACGGGCCUUGUCCCCUUUUUUUUUGGGGGUGGGGUUAGUGGCGAACGGGUGAGUAACACGUGAGUAACCUGCCCCUCACUUCUGGAUAACCGCUUGAAAGGGUGGCUAAUACGGGGUGUUCUGGCCUGCUCGCAUGGGUGGGUUUGGAAAGAUUCGACCGGUUUUGGUUGUUUUGGUGGGGGAUGGGCUCGCGGCCUAUCAGCUUGGUGGUGGGGUGAUGGCCUGCCAAGGCUUUGACGGGUAGCCGGCCUGAGAGGGUGGGCGGUCACACUGGGACUGAGACACGGCCCAGACUCCUACGGGAGGCAGCAGUGGGGAAUAUUGCACAAUGGGCGCAAGCCUGAUGCAGCGACGCCGCGUGAGGGAUGGAGGCCUUCGGGUUGUGAACCUCUUUCGCCAGUGAAGAAGGUCCUGCUCUUUGUGGUGGGGUUGACGGUAGCUGGGUUAAUGAAGCGCCGGCUAACUACGUG